rnacentral:misc_RNA from 1 species
AACGCACAUUGCGCCCGCCAGUAUUCUGGCGGGCAUGCCUGUUCGAGCGUCAUUUCAACCAUCAAGCCCCCGGGCUUGUGUUGGGGACCUGCGGCUGCCGCAGGCCCCGAAAACCAGUGGCGGGCUCGCUGUCACCCCGAGCGUAGUAGUUUACACCUCGCCCAGGGCGCGACGCGGGUUUCCCGGCCGUUAAACACCCCCCAUCUAAAGGUUGACCUCGGAUCAGGUAGGAAGACCCGCUGAACUUAA